AAAAAAAAAACAAAGAAAGAAAAAUGUAAGAUUUGAUGAGUGAAUCAGUACACGCAGUAUAUAUAUAUAUAUAUAUUAAAAUGCCUAUUAAAUUCUAUACAAAGUAUGAUCCUAAUAAAAGGGUAUAUGUGGAUGCCUAUUGAAAACAGGAAUUUAGAAUAAAUAAACAAAAAUAAUUAAUAAAAACCCCGGUAAUUAGCCCCCAAAAAAAAAAAAAACUUAUUUACUAACGUAUCCCCGUGCGAAACGCGUUUCUCCCCCCUGUAUAAGACCUAGCCCGCCGCUCUUAUAUUUCAAUAUUUCGCAGACCGCUCUUUUUUAAUUGAAGCUGUAUUCUCAUCGCGCUGAAUUUAGGUAAGUUAGGUUUCGACUUUUUUAAUUUUUUUUUUUUUAAUUUUUGAUAGUUAGGUUUUUAAUUUACGCACAAAUUGGUUGCCAUCGAUUUGGAUUUGGGGAGAAGGAGGGAUAGGAAAGUAAAGAGUAGAAGAUGAAGAAGCGUGAAGAGCAGGAGGUGGGCAAUAAUGAUGAAAAAAAGGUUGAUGCUGUGAAGGCUAAGGAGGCUGUGAAGCUUAAGAGACCAAUCAACAUGGACGAUCCAUUUGACACUGAAUAUUUUGUGGCUUUGUACAAAAGGAAUAAAUAACAGCCACGUUCUGCUAGCUCUACUUAAUAUUGACACCAAGCACUCUUGGUUAUAUUGACACCCUUUUUUUUUUUUUUUUUUUUAAUAUGUGGGUUAAGUUAUUGGUACUUAGAGAGAUACAUAAAUUGAAAAUCUUGAAGCAUCUCACGUUAUACAACUGAAUCCUCAAAUUUAUUCA